AUUGAACGCUGGCGGCAGGCCUAACACAUGCAAGUCGAACGGUAACAGGAAGAAGCUUGCUUCUUUGCUGACGAGUGGCGGACGGGUGAGUAAUGUCUGGGAAACUGCCUGAUGGAGGGGGAUAACUACUGGAAACGGUAGCUAAUACCGCAUAACGUCGCAAGACCAAAAAGGGGGACCUUCGGGCCUCUUGCCAUCGGAUGUGCCCAGAUGGGAUUAGCUAGUAGGUGGGGUAACGGCUCACCUAGGCGACGAUCCCUAGCUGGUCUGAGAGGAUGACCAGCCACACUGGAACUGAGACACGGUCCAGACUCCUACGGGAGGCAGCAGUGGGGAAUAUUGCACAAUGGGCGCAAGCCUGAUGCAGCCAUGCCGCGUGUAUGAAGAAGGCCUUCGGGUUGUAAAGUACUUUCAGCGGGGAGGAAGGGAGUAAAGUUAAUACCUUUGCUCACUGACGUUACCCGCAGAAGAAGCACCGGCUAACUCCGU
rnacentral:rRNA from 1 species